rnacentral:rRNA from 1 species
AACGAACGCUGGCGGCAGGCUUAACACAUGCAAGUCGAACGCACUCUUCGGAGUGAGUGGCAGACGGGUGAGUAACGCGUGGGAAUCUACCCAGUCCUUCGGAAUAGCUCCUGGAAACGGGAAUUAAUACCGGAUACGCCCUUUUGGGGAAAGAUUUAUCGGUAUUGGAUGAGCCCGAGUAAGAUUAGCUAGUUGGUGGGGUAAUGGCCUACAAAGGCGACGAUCUUUAGCUGGUCUGAGAGGAUGAUCAGCCACACUGGGACUGAGACACGGCCCAGACUCCUACGGGAGGCAGCAGUGGGGAAUAUUGGACAAUGGGCGCAAGCCUGAUCCAGCCAUGCCGCGUGAGUGAUGAAGGCCUUAGGGUUGUAAAGCUCUUUCACCGGUGAAGAUAAUGACGGUAACCGGAGAAGAAGCCCCGGCUAACCUCGUGCCAGCCGCCGCGGUAA